rnacentral:lncRNA from 1 species
UUAUUUAGAGUCAAAUAAAGGGAUGAGUACAUCCUUAGUAUAUACAGGAGGAGGUCCCGUAGUUGCAAACUGAAAUUGGACCUCCUGUGCAUGAUAACAUAAAUAGUGAGUAACAA